AAAGCAGAGAAAUGCAUCCAUUUUAUCCUCAAUUGCCAGCCCAGCUAUUCAGAACAGCUCAGUACAGAACUGCAAGAUCUUCUGGAAAAGCUCCUAAAGAAGAAGCCAUACAAGCGGCUUGGGUUCAAGGGGGAUAUAAGGAGACACCCCUUUUUCAAAUCCAUCAACUGGAUCAAAGUAGAAAUACAAAAUGUUGAACCACCUUUCCAGCCAGAACCUCAACCAAAUCCUGAUGUGAGCAUUCCAGCAAGUGCCUUAGAGGUCCUCAACAUUGACACCGCCUCAACUCACAGCUACAGUCUUCAGGAUUUCACAUAUCUGAGUCCCAGCUGGCAGGCAUAAGCCCACUUACUACAACUGUGGGAAAGGAUACAUCAACUCGAAGUUCAGUUCCCAUCCAACUGGAAAACAUCUUAAUUUGUUCAAAAGCACACCCGUCUGCUGUAUGAAUUCACAGAUCCAUUUGCAGCUCUACCAUCAGCUUCACCUGAUGCAUCGUUGCUACAUAAAGAUCAGCAGCCAACUCCACAAGUCAUCAGUCCCACCAUCAAAUCCAUCUCUGGAACUACCAUCAAGUCCAUCUUGCAUUUCCAUCAAAGCUACUUCAUCACCUAUACUUCCAUCUCCAGGUGAAAACAUUGGGUCUGGCCUACCAUCAGUUGUAUCUCUGUAUGGACUUACUAAGCUACCCUCUCUAACCCUCAUAUAAAUGUGUAAGAGGAGCUGAUGUAAGUAUGUUUAAAUGGUGGUAAGUAUUUUAAAUUGAUUAAAAGAGCUGGGAUCCUUUGGUUAUAUAAGUUUUGGCUAAAUGAUAUAACUAAAGGGCUCUUAUAAAACAGAUUAGUAUAAAAUCAAACUAGACUUAGGGUAAUAGUAGAAAUGUAAAUGCAGAGGAUAGUUACAAGAGGAUAAUAAGGUAAUACUAAGAUAGGCAGGAAAUAUAAAUAAU